UGAGUACAUGGUUGUCACCACAGGACCAUGCAACAUGAUUGAUGGAAAGACACCAACCGGCACUUUGGAUACAAAAGUAGGUUAUGAACUCACCCAUGACAACUGACAGAGAUAGCUGCAUUGACAGAGGACUAUACGUCAUGCUCCCAGACAGAAGGGGAAGCUCUGCAAAUCUCCCAUGUAGUUGGCAAUCCUUUCUAUCUUGGAUAUCAUUCAAAAACAAGGACAGAGCAACCAAUCUCCAUGCAUCUCAACUGACUGCACAAACAAGAAUACCUGGAAAACUUUCUCAAUGGAAUAAUAUAAAGCUAACAUUUCCUAAGUGAUUACUACUCUGAAGUCCAACGUCUCCCCCAGCAAAUAUAACAUGUGUGGCUACCUGAGGCCACAUCCCCGGGCUAUCAUAGAAGAACAGAACCAACGCAGAGAACUAGAAGGCUAAAUGCUCUAUCGGAACCCCAGAACCCAGGAGAAAGACCAUACCAUACAAAAAGCGAGAGAAGCACAAUCCCUCUGCCCGCCCCCCCCCAGGUUCAACAUCCAGCAGCAACUGUACAGACACUGACGUGGAAAUCCUGGCACCCUGGGAGACCGCGGUCUCCUAGAGAGCACUGGGCUGGGGUUCAUCAUUGAUAAAAUGGGAGGAUGCCAGAGUCUAGAGCGCAAGUAAACCACACCCAGAGGGCCAAUUUCAGCCACACACGCAUUUGGAUUGUUUGGGGUUUUUUUGUUGUUUCAGCUCUGCUGAAGUGUUAUUGAACAAUAAAAUCUUAUU